rnacentral:rRNA from 1 species
AGUGAACGCUGGCGGUAGGCCUAACACAUGCAAGUCGAACGGCAGCACAGUAAGAGCUUGCUCUUACGGGUGGCGAGUGGCGGACGGGUGAGGAAUACAUCGGAAUCUACUUUUUCGUGGGGGAUAACGUAGGGAAACUUACGCUAAUACCGCAUACGACCUACGGGGGAAAGCAGGGGAUCUUCGGACCUUGCGGGAUUGAAUGAGCCGAUGUCGGAUUAGCUAGUUGGCGGGGUAAAGGCCCACCAAGGCGACGAUCCGUAGCUGGUCUGAGAGGAUGAUCAGCCACACUGGAACUGAGACACGGGCCAGACUCCUACGGGAGGCAGCAGUGGGGAAUAUUGGACAAUGGGCGCAAGCCUGAUCCAGCCAGACCGCGUGGGUGAAGAAGGCCUUCGGGUUGUAAAGCCCUUUUGUUGGGAAAGAAAAGCAGCAGGUUAAUACCCCGCUGUUCUGACGGUACCCAAAGAAUAAGCACCGGCUAACUUCGUG